rnacentral:rRNA from 1 species
CCAGACUCCUACGGGAGGCAGCAGUGAGGAAUCUUCCACAAUGGGCGAAAGCCUGAUGGAGCAACGCCGCGUGGAGGAUGAAGGCCUUCGGGUUGUAAACUGCUUUUAUAAGUGAGGAAUAUGACGGUAACUUAUGAAUAAGGAUCGGCUAACUACGUGCCAGCAGCCGCGGUCAUACGUAGGAUCCGAGCGUUAUCCGGAGUGACUGGGCGUAAAGAGUUGCGUAGGCGGUUUGUUAAGCGAAUAGUGAAACCUGGUGGCUCAACCAUACAGACUAUUAUUCAAACUGUUAAACUCGAGAAUGGUAGAGGUAACUGGAAUUUCUUGUGUAGGAGUGAAAUCCGUAGAUAUAAGAAGGAACACCGAUGGCGUAGGCAGGUUACUGGGCCAUUUCUGACGCUAAGGCACGAAAGCGUGGGGAGCGAACCGGAUUAGAUACCCGGGUAGUCCACGCCGUAAACGAUGGAUACUAGCUGUUGGAGGUAUCGACCCCUUCAGUAGCGAAGCUAACGCGUUAAGUAUCCCGCCUGUGGAGUACGGCCGCAAGGCUAAAACAUAAAGGAAUUGACGGGGGCCCGCACAAG